GUGGGGAAUUUUGGACAAUGGGCGAAAGCCUGAUCCAGCCAUGCCGCGUGCAGGAUGAAGGCCUUCGGGUUGUAAACUGCUUUUGUACGGAACGAAAAGACUCCUUCUAAUAAAGGGGGUCCAUGACGGUACCGUAAGAAUAAGCACCGGCUAACUACGUGCCAGCAGCCGCGGUAAUACGUAGGGUGCAAGCGUUAAUCGGAAUUACUGGGCGUAAAGCGUGCGCAGGCGGUUAUAUAAGACAGAUGUGAAAUCCCCGGGCUCAACCUGGGAACUGCAUUUGUGACUGUAUAGCUAGAGUACGGUAGAGGGGGAUGGAAUUCCACGUGUAGCAGUGAAAUGCGUAGAGAUGUGGAGGAACACCGAUGGCGAAGGCAGCCCCCUGGGCCAAUACUGACGCUCAUGCACGAAAGCGUGGGGAGCAAACAGGAUUAGAAACCCGAGUAGUCC
rnacentral:rRNA from 1 species